CCCCAGCCGGUUAAGCCCACCGUGCCCCUUUCCUCUCGGGCCCAACGUGCAACGGCUGCACACGGCAGCCCCCUCGGUAGUGUGCGCAGCCUGUCGCUUCGUGGGCUGCUGUAAGGGAGCCUGCAGGCAGCC
rnacentral:snoRNA from 1 species